UGCACGAGUGGUCUGGGGUCUCCAGGGGCGUCGUGUGGCCACCCUCAGGCUUUCUAGGUUCUUGUCAUCACGGCUGUGCAAUGCGAGGGGCUGGACUCUGAAGGGAAACAGAUGCCAGGGGCAUCCCUCCCAGGAUCUCUGGGAAGAGACCCACUACCUAAAAACAACCGAAGAAUAAUGACUAGCGGGUGGAGGGCUUCCAGGGUGCCCUACUGAGCGUCACACCCACCUGACUCUGCUCGUUCCCAGAACACCCAUAGGUGGCGGGUGCUAGUGUUAUCCCCGUUUAAAGGUGAAGGAAACUGAGGCACGAGGGGUGAAAUAACUUCCCCAAAGUCACUCACCCCGUGAGUGGCAGAGCCAGGAUGGGAACCCAGGCAGCCCGGCCCCCGAGCCCCAGCCCCGUAGCUGGCUGUCCAGAUACUCAGGACAGUCGGCCGGUCGGCCCUGACCCAGUGCCCUCAAACCAGGCAGUCGUGAGAGGCAGUGCUGGAAGAGGCACUGAGUCUACUAAUGAGGGUGAAUGAGUCGCUCGCCCUCCCUUCCGUGCCUGCACUGCCUGCCUGGGGACCCUCUCACGUGUAGGUGCCCCUGGACUGGGCGCUCGGGCGCUGUUGAGAGCCACGCCAGCCGUGUCCCUGCCCCAAGGGGGACGAGCUGUUAGGAAGAAGGCCCCUGGUUUGUGGCUAUGUGUAGCGAUGUGCUCAAGCCGGGAGGUGCAGACACGGUCUGGUCUGGGGAGAAGGGCGGAGGGCUUCCUGGAGUGGGCAGCCGGCACCUGGCCUUGAGGCUGGGGGGCGCGGAAUGGUCGGAGAAGGGGCCGAGGCCUUCCAGGAGCCGGGACACGGGGUCCUGGAGCUGGCCAAGGAGAGCGAGCGGCUGCAGGCCAUGAUGGCCCACCUGCACAUGCGGCCCUCGGAGCCCAAGCCCUUCAGCCAGCCGGUGAGCGGUGCCCCCUGCCCGCAGCCCCCCCAGGACCCCUCCACGGCCCCCCCAGGACCCCUCCACGGCCCCCCCAGG
rnacentral:lncRNA from 1 species